rnacentral:rRNA from 1 species
CAGUAACGGCGAGUGAAGCGGUAACAGCUCAAAUUUGAAAGCUAGCUCUUUUAGGGUUCGCAUUGUAAUUUGUAGAAGAUGCUUCGGGUGUGGCCCCGGUCUAAGUUCCUUGGAACAGGACGUCAUAGAGGGUGAGAAUCCCGUAUGUGACUGGGUGCUUUCGCUCAUGUGAAGCUCUUUCGACGAGUCGAGUUGUUUGGGAAUGCAGCUCAAAAUGGGUGGUAAAUUUCAUCUAAAGCUAAAUAUUGGCCAGAGACCGAUAGCGCACAAGUAGAGUGAUCGAAAGAUGAAAAGCACUUUGGAAAGAGAGUUAAACAGUACGUGAAAUUGUUGAAAGGGAAGCGCUUGCAACCAGACUUGCGCGCUGAUGAUCAUCCGGGCUUCUGCCCGGUGCACUCGUCUGCGCUCAGGCCAGCAUCGGUUUCGGUGGUGGGAUAAAGGCCUUGGGAAUGUAGCUUCUUUCGGGGAGUGUUAUAGCCCUCGGUGCAAUGCCGCCUACCGGGACCGAGGACCGCGCUUCGGCUAGGAUGCUGGCGUAAUGGUUGUAAGCGACCCGUCUUGAAACACGGACCAAGGAGUCUAACAUCUAUGCGAGUGUUUGGGUGUCAAACCCAUACGCGUAAUGAAAGUGAACGGAGGUGAGAACCCUUAAGGGUGCAUCAUCGACCGAUCCUGAUGUCUUCGGAUGGAUUUGAGUAAGAGCAUAGCUGUUGGGACCCGAAAGAUGGUGAACUAUGCGUGAAUAGGGGUGAAGCCAGAGGAAACUCUGGUGGAGGCUCGCAGCGGUUCUGACGUGCAAAUCGAUCGUCAAAUUUGCGUAUAG